UCCUGUUUGUGUUGACGUUUUGUUGCUUCUUGUCGGUCACUUUCAGUCAGCCCCAACUUCAAGCUGGCUCUCUUCCAAGUUUUCUGGUGAGCUUGCCAAUCUGUCCCUGCGGGCCCAAGCCCCAGUUUUCAAAGCCAGGGCCUACUGUUGUCUCUGUGAUUUGAGAAGAAACCCAGAAAGACUGAAGGUUCUACAGAAACAUGAAGGUGUUCUCAGGCUGCCCGCCGAGGCUGCGUGAAGAAAAGGCCAGGUUCGUGACAACCACCCAGGUCCUUUCACCACACGCUGAGCACCCGGUGUGUGUCGCUGCAUCUCAUCUACACAAGCACUUAGCAGAUAGGCCUCAUUAGUCUGAUUUUCAACCAUGGAAACUCAGACUCCAAGCAUCUAUCAUCUUGUCCUGCCAAGGUCACACACCCGGCAUAUUUGUCUGCCUCAGCUCCCCUCUCUUCGGAUGCCAUGGGCUGCCCAGUGACACCCUUGCUUCAUCUCUGUCUCCGCUCACAUGCUGUCCCACUAGAGGUGGUUUCUGUUGAUCGACUUGUCUGUUUGAAACAAUACUCAGUGGCUUUUGGUCCCCUCAUCUGUCCUUUUCUUUAGAACUACUUAAUAUUGUAUGUAUACAGUUGUCCCUGAGUAUCUGCAGGUUGGUUCCAGGAUUCCCAGGGGAAGCCAAAAUUCAAGGGCUAUCAGAUCCCUUAUAUAAAAUGACUUAGUAUUGUCCUAUAACCAGUGCUCAUCCUCAUGUAUCCUCAAGCCUUUUCUGGACAACUUAUAACACCACUCAAGGCAAGCACUAUAUAACUAGUUGUAGCAGAGUAUCAUUUAGAGAAGGACAACAACAUCUGUAUGAGAUGCACACCAUUUUCUCUGGCUUAUUUUCUGAGAGUGAUUGACUAGGCAGAUGGACACAGACAGCUGACCAAGGAUGUGCAUGUCCUGGAGUGUGUGUAUGAAGACAGGUACUGUUUUGCAUAAUUCUGGAUUCUCCUGGUAUGUGGCAGGUACUCAAAAUCUGUUUAAUGAAUUAAUGAAUGGAUAGGUGAAUGGAUGGAUGGAUGGACAUAAAGAAACCAUUUUCUGUUUUAUACCUAAAACAGUCUUAUUGUUUGGUCAGGUUGUCACAAAUGACAAGCAACACUCUUGCUUCAGAGACAGAUUAUUCAGGACUGUUGUCGUGAUCGACUAGUAGACACCGGGCUAACUUACCCAAUGUGUAUGACUAAUAAAUUGAGCCCUUGCCAAUCA